CUAAUACUCCCUCCGUCCGGAAAUACUCGUCGGAGGAAUGGAUGUAUCUAGAUGUAUUUUAGUUCUAGAUACAUCCAUUUUUAUGCAUUUCUUCGACAAGUAUUUCCGGACGGAGGGAGUAUCAG
rnacentral:pre_miRNA from 1 species